rnacentral:rRNA from 1 species
GGGUCAGUAGGUUGGUCGUGCCACCGGUACGUACUGGUCUCACUGAUUCCUCCUUCCUGAAGAGCCGUAAUGCCAUUAAUUUGGUUUUGCGGGGAAACAGGACUGUUACUUUGAAAAAAUUAGAGUGUUUAAAGCAAGCUAACGCUUGAAUACAUUAGCAUGGAAUAAUGAAAUAGGACGAUCGAUCCUAUUUUGUUGGUUUCUAGGAUUGACGUA